rnacentral:rRNA from 1 species
AUGCCGCCGCCGGCGCCGCACGAGGAGUUCGAGGCCGCCGACGGCGAGGCAUACAAGUACGCAGAGCACGAGCCUAAGCUCGCCGAGUUCCUCUGCAGUUUCCACUCCGACGACCUCCGCCGCAUCCUCCUCCACCCCGAGUCCACGCUCCACUUCCCCCUCGUCAUCGACUUCGCGGAGCUCCUGGACUUCGACCCCGGCUUGGCCAAAAUACUCUACAACGACCCCAAGGGCUUCCUCCCCGCCUUCGACAUCGCCGCUCAGGGCGCCCAGAGCGAGGUGUUGCGCAUCCUCCGAAAGGGCGAGGCGUUGGGUAAUCCGGACGAGUUGAGGCCCGCUGCCGUGCAGAAGGGGUUCGUGCACGUGCGCGUCAACGUCUGCGGGUCGCCACUGGAAUUCCCUGAGUCGUCGCCGAGCAUAGGGAAGGUGAGGGUGAAGCAUAGGGGGAUUCUGCUGACAUUGAAGGGGACUGUGAUCAGAUCAGGCGGUGUGAAGAUGAUCGAGGGCGAGCGGGAGUAUCAAUGCAGGAAAUGCAACCACAGGUUUCCCUGCUAUCCUGAGCUAGAGGCUGGGAAUCGUAUAACUCUACCUGCAUCUUGCCCAUCCAUGAGAUCAAAAGGUUGUCAAAGUGCUUCUUUCCAAUUGAUAGGAGAUAGCAUAACCUGUCAUGAUUAUCAGGAAAUAAAAAUCCAAGAAAGCGUGCAACUUCUGGAUGUUGGGUCUAUACCCCGUUCCAUGCCUGUGAUUUUGAUGGAUGACCUUGUUGAUCUUGUUAAAGCUGGAGAUGAUGUCAUUGUUACGGGUAUAUUAUCUGCAAAGUGGUCCUCUGAUGUUAAGGAUGUGCGUUGCAACCUUGAUCCUAUGUUUAUUGCCAAUUAUGUGAGGAGAACUAAUGAGCUGAAGUCUGGUAUAGACAUCCCUGAGGAAAUUAUCAAGGAUUUUGAGCUUUUCUGGGCAGAAAACAGAGCUACUCCACUAGAAGGAAGAAAUAAAAUCUUGAAAGGCAUUUGUCCUCAGAUUUUUGGGUUAUUCACGGUAAAGCUUGCAGUUGCUCUUACAUUGAUUGGUGGAGUGCAGCAUGUUGAUCCUUCUGGAACAAAGGUUCGUGGCGAACCACAUAUGCUUCUUGUUGGUGAUCCAGGUACUGGUAAAUCCCAGUUUUUGAAGUUUGCUGCUAAAUUGAGCAACCGUUCUGUGAUUACAACUGGUCUUGGAAGUACCAGUGCUGGUUUGACUGUGACUGCUGUCAAGGAUGGAGGUGAGUGGAUGCUUGAGGCUGGUGCCCUUGUUCUGGCUGAUGGUGGUUUGUGCUGCAUAGACGAAUUUGAUAGUAUGCGAGAGCAUGACAGGACAACAAUACAUGAAGCCAUGGAACAACAAACAAUAAGCGUUGCAAAGGCUGGACUGGUGACAACACUCAGUACAAGGACUACUGUCUUUGGUGCCACUAAUCCAAAAGGACAAUAUGAUUCGAAUGAAUCCUUAUCCGUGAAUACAACACUUUCAGGACCAUUGUUGAGUAGAUUUGAUAUAGUUCUUGUUCUCUUGGAUAAAAAGAACCCUAAGUUGGAUGGUAUAAUUUCAUCUCAUAUAUUAGCUCAGAGCACCAAAGCAGAAGAAAACAAGGCCAGUGACGCUGCCGUAAAAAGCACCCAACCUUUGGGUAUAAAAGAGUGGACACUCCCCUGUUUGAGAAGGUAUAUCCACUAUGUAAAACAGCGGUUCAAACCGGUGCUGACAAAGGAAGCAGAAAGUGUUAUCUCAGGCUAUUAUCAGCUUCAGCGGAGAGAUGGAACACAUAAUGCAGCGAGGACAACUGUGCGUAUGCUUGAGAGUUUGAUAAGGCUGGCACAAGCACACGCAAGACUAAUGUUCAGAAAUGAGGUUACACGGCUUGAUGCUAUUGCUGCCAUAUUAUGCAUUGAGUCCUCCAUGACAACAUCUGCAAUCAUAGACGGUGAUGGAAAUGCUCUGAACUCCAAUUUCCAAGAGAACCCUGAUCAGGAAUAUAUCAAAGAGGAGCAGAAAAUCCGUGACAAGCUUGGGGAUUACCUAUACUAA